GUCCACGCCCUAACGAUGUCAACUAGUUGUUGGUAGAGUAAAUCUAUGAGUAACGCAGCUAACGCGUGAAGUUGACCGCCUGGGAGUACGAUCGCAAGAUUAAACUCAAAUGAAUUGACGGGGCCCGCACAAGCGGUGGAUUAUGUGGAUUAAUUCGAUGCAACGCGAAAACCUUACCUGGCCUUGACAUGUACGGAACUUUCCAGAGAUGGAUUGGUGCUCGAAAGAGAACCGUAACACAGGUGCUGCAUGGCUGUCGU
rnacentral:rRNA from 1 species